rnacentral:tRNA from 1 species
GGGGACGUGGCAGAGUGGUUAUUGCGCUAGACUAGAAAUCUAGUUCCUUCGGGAGCAUGGGUUCGAAUCCCAUCGUCUCCU